GGACUACCGGGGUAUCUAAUCCUGUUUGCUCCCCACGCUUUCGCACCUGAGCGUCAGUCUUUGUCCAGGGGGCCGCCUUCGCCACCGGUAUUCCUCCAGAUCUCUACGCAUUUCACCGCUACACCUGGAAUUCUACCCCCCUCUACAAGACUCUAGCUGGACAGUUUUAAAUGCAAUUCCCAGGUUGAGCCCGGGGCUUUCACAUCUAACUUAUCCAACCGCCUGCGUGCGCUUUACGCCCAGUAAUUCCGAUUAACGCUUGCACCCUCCGUAUUACCGCGGCUGCUGGCAC
rnacentral:rRNA from 2 species